GGUCUAUUAGUCUAGUUGGUUAGGACGUCGGAUUCUGAUUCAAAUCCAGAUUUUCCGUAAGCCCAGGUUCGAAUCCUGGAUGGACCU